CUCUCCUUGUCAUUGAGCUUCACCGGUGUCGUCAUCAUCGAGCUUUGCCGUCGUCGUCAUCAUCGAGCUUCGCCAUCACCGUCAUCGUUGACCUUCUCUUCAGGUUUGUCGUCAUCAUCGAUCUCCGUUGUUGCCGUCAUCGUUGAGCUUCUCUUCAGAUCUCAUACACUGUCUACAACCAUCGUGAUUCUUAAGGAUGGUAUUGCUACAUACUACAGGUUUUUUGGAUGGCUAAGGGAUGAGUGAAGCCAGACUUGCUACUGAGAUGACACAUGGAGGAGAAGAAACAGAGCUAAGAAAUGGAGUAAUUGAGGACAAGGGAAAGAUCAAGCUGAAGUGCUCAGAAAGAGAGCAAAGUUCUUUGGUGUCGAAAGCUCCUCUUUUCUGUCACAUUUUGGGUCAGUUUGAAUAAUUAGGUUAACUGGUCUAGUUGUUGUUUUGUAUUGUCGAUUUUGUUUGGCCGUGAUAUUAUUGAUAGUAACAGGUAAGAGCUAUAGCCUGCAGUCACAGUCACGAGUGAUGAAAAAUGUAGCAAUCUCUCAUUUCAUCUACUUCUCAUUAUCCUCAUCAAAGAGAGUGGUUCCCUGAUUUCUUCUAGUCUCUGCAGUCUUUGUAUAAUUCUAAAAGUACUGAAACAAGCAAGAAGUAUGAAGGACAAGUUUGAGAA